rnacentral:rRNA from 1 species
GUUUCGAAGGGAUAGGGUCGGUUCGGCCGGGUUUCACACAGGUGUUGCAUGGCUGUCGUCAGCUCGUGUCGUGAGAUGUUGGGUUAAGUCCCGCAACGAGCGCAACCCUCAUCCUUAGUUACCAUCAGGUAAUGCUGGGGACUUUAAGGAAACUGCCAGUGAUAAACUGGAGGAAGGUGGGGAUGAUGUCAAGUCAUCAUGGCCCUUAUGGAGUGGGCUACACACGUGCUACAAUGGUGGCUACAAUGGGCUGCAAAGUCGCGAGGCUAAGCUAAUCCCUUAAAAGCCAUCUCAGUUCGGAUUGUACUCUGCAACUCGAGUGCAUGAAGUUGGAAUCGCUAGUAAUCGUGGAUCAGCACGCCACGGUGAAUACGUUCCCGGGCCUUGUACACACCGA